CAAGUACAAAGCCAUUAAGGCAAGAGGUAAGGUAAGAUGUAGGCCAAGGGAAAGAAGAACAUUUUGAAAAGGAAAAUAUUCUGGAAUCAACAUUGUAAGAAGGAUGCACCUGCACAUUGCAAAGUGUUACGUAUUCUCCUGACCUCCCUCUAAGUAGAUCAGCCUGAGAGGGAAGAGGAGAGUACUCCUUCCUACCAGGAAAGCAUCUUGACAUUCGAGCCCAUAAACCCUUGCAUCAAACUGGAAAAGCAACCUGCCUACCAUAUGAAGACCCAAUUUCCUCUGCAACGCUUCAUGGCAACUUUGAAAUAGCUGAGUUUAAGUACAAUACAAAUUGUUCCUAAUUUACAUGAUAUUUUGAAAAAGACUGCUAUAAGUUGCUGUUUGGGGAGAAGUAGUGCAAUUCAUAACCAACUUUCCCAUACAGCACACUUCAUAAUAUUGUCAGGAUUUUGUAUUGCCGUUUUUUCGUAUCAUCUUAAAACAGAGGGAAGAAAGCAAUCUAACUUAACUCAUCCACUAGAUGGAAAGUGACAUACUGAACCAAACCAGAA